UGUAUGCAUCUUUUUAGGGCUCGUGCUGAAGAAUACGGUUAUCGUGUGAUGUUGGGUUUUUAUUUGAAGACUUGGUUGGAGUACCGCGACAGAUUACAAAGUUUAUACAGUUUUAGAUCAUACUUUUGGGACAAAUAUUCCAAAACUUUCGGGAAUGAUUCACUGAUUCUAUGGCCGUGUUUUUGUCAUUUCAAUGCGAGCCUUGGGGAUACCUUAACUACGGUGUUUUCGUGUGGAUAUCUUUGGAAUUGAAAUAUUAGACGAGGACGAAACCAACGAUAUGAUGCCACUGGUUCCCCUGGUGAAGUUAUUUGAAAGUGUCCGGCAAGCUACAAUAGUCGGCCACUCGGGGAAAGAUCAAGAGCUUUUAAAGUUAAGAGCCAAAACAGAUACAGACACGGAAGGGCGAACAGUUCUCCAUCUAGCGGCUGCGAAUGGCUGUACGGAUACAGUGAGAACGUUAUUACAAUACGGAGCCAAAGUAAACGCUGUUGAUCAG